UGGGGAAUAUUGCACAAUGGGCGAAAGCCUGAUGCAGCGACGCCGCGUGAGGGAUGACGGCCUUCGGGUUGUAAACCUCUUUCAGCAGGGACGAAGCGCAAGUGACGGUACCUGCAGAAGAAGCACCGGCUAACUACGUGCCAGCAGCCGCGGUAAUACGUAGGGUGCAAGCGUUGUCCGGAAUUACUGGGCGUAAAGAGUUCGUAGGCGGUUUGUCGCGUCGUUUGUGAAAACCAGCAGCUCAACUGCUGGCUUGCAGGUGAUACGGGCAGACUUGAGUACUGCAGGGGAGACUGGAAUUCCUGGUGUAGCGGUGAAAUGCGCAGAUAUCAGGAGGAACACCGGUGGCGAAGGCGGGUCUCUGGGCAGUAACUGACGCUGAGGAACGAAAGCGUGGGUAGCGAACAGG
rnacentral:rRNA from 1 species